rnacentral:lncRNA from 1 species
GGAGGAUCUAGGAGUCUGAGAUGGGCAGCAGGGUUUGGGUGGGGCAGAGGCUGCAGCCCGAAGUCCUGGCCACCAGAAUGCUGAUGGCAAUUAUUGUGACAAUCAUGGUACUUUGCAGAGGAGGUAGACUUGGGCUGUGGACAGCAAAUCACUUAGGAUGCAUUCACCCCCCUCCUGGGCACCUCACGGGAGGCGACCCGAAACCAGACGCUUCCAGAGACCGCUAGGCUUCCCCACAGUCCUGGGGUCUCCUCUGGAGACCUGGGAGGGCCUGGGAACCUCGCCCUGUGGAAGGUGGGCAGUGGAGUGGGGGAUGCGCACCCGAGGGGCCCGAGACCCGCAGCCUGGCUGAGGCGGAGAGGAACAGCGCGGGGAACAGUGGGGAGUCGGCUAUGUCCCGCCCACCUGAGGAAGCCACUGCGGUCGAGGCUGGGGGAAGCACCUCUCCAGGGUGCUCGUAUGGGCACCUCUCGGGCUCCCGUGGCCGUGUGCACGGCUGACUGGUCUGGGAUCCCAAGCCCAGGAGGAGGCCUAGGACAGACAGGUGCAGGCUCUGUGCUCUGUUGAAAUCAGAGCCACCUAAGAAAAAGUGGCCAACUGCAAAAGCAGCAAACUCCCUGUCACCUGGAUGUGCAGGCAGAGGACAGGGAAUGGUUGGAGGGACAUUGUGAAGACCCACACGUCACCCAGGACCAGACACAAGGAACAGCACUGAGGGUGAGGGCGCUGAUGGCGACUGGUGCUCACGAUGGUGAUGGUGGUGAUGAAGGUGAUGGAUGUGGAGAUGGUGAUGGAGGUGAUGGAGAUGGUGUUGGAGAUAGUGACAGAAUGCUGAUGGCCUUGAUAAUAAAACUGUCUCAUGACUCCCUGAGCAGGAAGACAUCUAGCCAGAGGGUGACUCAGGGGGGGUUCAUGGAGGCCCAGAAACAAAGGCAUUAGGGACACAGCUUCUUCUUUUGUGGCUUUCAUUCUCACUUUUCAUUCUCCUCCUGAUCAUACAACAGCUGCUGCAGAGCCUGACAUCACAUCUUUACACAUGACCAAGCAGGAAAGAAAGCAAUGGCCUUUUUGCACAUUUCUUGCCUGUCAUCAGGGAGGUCAUUGUCUGGGCCUGGGCAACAUGGCCUCCCUCCUGCAUCCUCUACAGUGAGCAGGACCCAGGCCAAAGAACCUUUCUGCAGAGAUUGCACAGCAGCCAAGAAGCUAGAAAAAAGGUGGCUUCCCAAGGCCGAGUAGCCAAGCUCAUCAGACCGAGUCAGGCCCAGCCCAGCCCAGCAGUCCCCCAGGCCCCCAGGAGGUGGGAGAGCAGAGUCACAGCCGUGCUUCAGGGCAGACCCACAGACCAUGCUCUGCAACGUCUGGAUUGGAUGGAGAGGGAAUGAACGGAGGCUAUGGUGGAGGCCUUCGAGGGUCUUGGAUGCCAGGCUCCGGUGCCUGGGGCAGCGGCAGAUCUCUAAGGAAGGGGCCAGGCCCAACUGGUGCAGACUGCAGGGGCGGCCUGGAGGCCAGAGUGGGGCAGCCAGGACAGCAGAGGUGGGUGGGAGCCAGUCUUGAGGUCCUCAGCAGGUCCUUGGCGAGAGCCGCCAGCCCUCCGCUCUGAUCCAUUACGCUCCUUGCCCAUCUGAGCCAGUCCCAGGAGUGGCCCUCCCUCCAGAGGGCCUCAGCCUGCUGUCGGAACUCAGCUGUGCCAAACCCAUCACCGCUGAUCAAUAUGCAAUGGAUUCGGUCUGCGGGCCGGUGCACGAAGCCGGCCGGGCCGCGGAUCCUGCCACAUUCUGACAAGACAGAUUGGUUUCUGGAAAUCUUCUGGGAGGGGAGGG